rnacentral:rRNA from 1 species
AUGUUGGGGAGGGACGAGUUGCUGCGGCGGAGCCUCGUGACGCUGGCGGCGGCCGUCGUGGUGACCGGGGUGGCCACGGCGUCCGUGCGGAAGGCGCUGGCCACGUACAUCUUCGGCAUCCUGGCCAUCGCCGGCGUGCUGCUCCCGGACUGGGAGUUCUUCGACCGCGACUUCUCCCAGUGGCUCACCCCCAUGCCCGCCUCCCGCCGCACGGCCGCCGCCGCCGCCGCCGAACGCGAGCACGACAUUUGGAGAUUUAAACCGUAUCCACUCAGGAUGACCGUGCUCACGACGAUCUACGGGUUUGGACUUUACAAGUGGUGGACGUACGUAUCUCACUAA